rnacentral:lncRNA from 1 species
GAUAUAGUUAAGGAGGACAUCUUUGCUGUUGUCAAGGACUUCUCCUAUGAUUAAUACUACUGUUAUAGCUCUUAUUCCCAAAGAUAAAACCCCAGCAACUGUGAAAGAUUACAAACCUAUAGCAUGUUGCACCACAUUGUACAAGAUCAUUUCCAAAGUCAUCACUAGGAGGAUGAAAGCUGUGAUAGGUGAACUGGUAGGGCAGGCUCAAUCUGCCUUCAUCGAAGGUAGAAGCAAACUGAACGAUAUCAUACUCAAUCAUGAAAUCUUCAAAGGCUAUUCUAGGAAAGAUGUUUCUCCUAGAUGUGUCUUGAAGGUGGACCAUAGGAAGGCCUAUGACACAUUGGUUUGGAGGUUCCCAAAACAAAUAUUAGUUUAUCUGGGCUUUCCUGCUAUCUUUGUGCAAUGGAUAAUGGAGUGUGUCACAGCUGUCUCUUAUUCCCUCUUGCUAAAUGGUGGUCUCACACAGCCUUUCAAAGCUAAAAGGGGUAUUUGACAAGGUGACCCUAUGUCACCCUACUUAUUUGUACUGGCCAUGGAGUACCUCAAGAGGAUAUUGGGACAACUGCACAGAAAUGGAGACUUCAAUUUCCACCCAAAAUGAAGAAAACUAAACUGUACUCAUGUCUGCUUUGCUGAUGAUCUACUGAUGUUUUGUAGAGCUGACCUGGUUUCUGUUCAAAUCUUAAAGGAAGCUUUCCUCAAGUUCUCCAAAGCCUCAGGGCUGCAAGCUAAUAUGUCAAAAAGUGCACUAUAUAUAGCUGGAGUUAAUGUUCUCCAAAGCCUCAUGUCUGGAAGCUAAUCUAUCAAAAAGUGCAUUAUAUAUAGCUGGAGUUAAUCAGGAUGCCAAGGCAGUGAUUCUGGAGGCAUUAGGAUUCAGGAUUCACUGAAAGGCAAAUUUCCCUUCAGGUAUAUGGGGAUUGCUCUUGACUCCAAAAAAACUGUCUGUUGGCCACUACUUACCAGUAAUUGAGAAGAUUACAGCUAAAGUAACAUGCUGGUCUGCCAAACUGCUUUCGUAUGCUGGAAGAUGUCAGCUGAUAAAGUCUGUCAUUUUUGGCAUUCAAACCUACUGGGCUCAAGUGUUCAUCCUGCCUAAGAGAGUAUGAGAACCAUUGAGAACAUAUGCAGAACCUUUCUUUGGAUUGGGAGUGUAAAGCUGUCCAGAAAGGCCUUAGUGGCAUGGAACAGAGUAUGUAGGCCUAUCUCUGCUGGUGGAUUGAAUAUUAUAGAUAUGACAGUAUGGAAUAAGGCAGCAAUUAGCAAGC